rnacentral:rRNA from 1 species
AUAUCAAUAAGCGGAGGAAAAGAAACCAACAGGGAUUGCCCCAGUAACGGCGAGUGAAGCGGCAACAGCUCAAAUUUGAAAUCUGGCACGCCCAGCGAGCCCGAGUUGUAAUUUGCAGAGGAUGCUUUUGGCGACGCGCCUUCCGAGUUCCCUGGAACGGGACGCCGCAGAGGGUGAGAGCCCCGUACGGUAGGACGCCGAGCCUCUGUAAAGCUCCUUCGACGAGUCGAGUAGUUUGGGAAUGCUGCUCUAAAUGGGAGGUAGAUCUCUCCUAAAGCUAAAUACCGGCCAGAGACCGAUAGCGCACAAGUAGAGUGAUCGAAAGAUGAAAAGCACUUUGAAAAGAGAGUUAAACAGCACGUGAAAUUGUUGAAAGGGAAGCGCUCGCGACCAGACUUGCGGGCGGCGGAUCAGCUGGCGCCCUCGGGCCCAGCGCACUCCGUCGUCCACAGGCCAGCAUCGGUCUGCAGAGGGGGGGAAAGUCGGCGGGAAUGUGGCUCUUCGGAGUGUUAUAGCCCGCCGUAAUACCCUUCUGCGGACCGAGGUACGCGCUCCGCAAGGAUGCUGGCGUAAUGGUUGCUAGCGA